UCCCAGUUCGGAUUGCAGGCUGCAACCCGCCUGUAUGAAGUUGGAAUCGCUAGGAAUCGCGGAUCAGCAUGCCGCGGUGAAUACGUUCCCGGGCCUUGUACACACCGCCCGUCACACCAUGAGAGCCGGGAACACCCGAAGUCCGUAGUCUAACCGCAAGGAGGACGCGGCCGAAGGUGGGUUUGGUAAUUGGGGUGAAGUCGUAACAAGGUAGC
rnacentral:rRNA from 1 species